rnacentral:rRNA from 1 species
GAUGAGCUAACUGUCCAAUAACUCCCUUUUUGGUCCGUUACAACCGGGACCAAAAUGCUAAGCGGGGCGUAAUGUAGUACACUCAUCAGGCCCUUAUCAAAUAAUCACACAUUCCCCCCUUCGAUGUGGGACUAAUGGGAUGUUACAAUGGCGAACAAAUACCCCUUGAGAAAGAUGAAAAGGACUUUGAAAAGAGAGUCAAAGUGCUUGAAAUUGCGGGAGAAGCGGAUGGGGGCAGCGAUGCACCUCGGUCGAAUGCGGGCAAUGCGGUUAGCCCGGUCCCCUUCGGCUUCGAAGUGCGGAUCGAUCUUGAGCUGCAUCGGCCGAAGCCCCGGGCCGGAUCGUUCGUUUCGAGGGGAUACCGUCGAUCUGGUCGAGGACAUGGCCAUGGCGCGCCAUCGGCGUGCCCCUGAAUUACCACGUGCGACCUAGGCAUCGGCCCGAUGGGCUCCCCAUCAAACCCGUCUUGAAACAUGGACCAAAAUUCGACAUGCGUCGCGAGUCGGCCAGUGCGGAAGCCGGAAGGCACAAAGGAAGCUAGCGGGCGGGAACCCUCUGGGGUUGCACCUCCGGCCCCGAUCUUACGUGAAGGGUUCGAGUUGGAGCAUGCAUGUCGGGACCCAAAAGAUGGUGAACUAUGCGAGGCGUGCGAAGCGAGAGGAAACUCGGUGGAGGCCGAUAUCUUGGCGAUGCAAAUCGUUAAAUCGACUUGGGUAUAGGCGAAAAGACUAAUCGAACCAUCAAGUAGCUGGUUCCCUCAAAGUUUCCUCGGGAUAGGCUGGAGCCCACAUCUCGAGUUCUAUUGGGUAAAACCAAUGAUUAGAGCAUCGGGGGGCAUAGCGCCCUCGACCCUAUUCUCAAACUUUAAAUAGGUAGGACCCGGUGCUUCCCGUUGAACCGCGUCAGCCGGAAUCGAAACUCAAAAUGGGCCAUUUUGAGUAAAAGAACUGGCGAUCUUGGGAUGAGCAGGCAGCCGGGUUCACGGUGCCCAAUUGCCGCUAACCCGACACCACAAAGGGUGUUGGUGGAUUAAAACAAUGGGGGCCGGUGGUCAUGGAAGUCAAAAUCCGCUAAGGAUCGCGUAACAACUCACUGCCGAAUCAACUAGCCCCAAAAUGGAUGGCUGAAGCCUUGCCACCCACCGACCAUCCCGGCGUAAAAGCGAUGAUGGGAGGGAGCGGCGGUCGCCAUAAAACCGGGCCUUGAGCCCCGGCGGGCGACGUCGGUGCAGAUCUUGGUGGUAGUAGCAAAUAUUCAAAUAAGAACUUUAAAAGGCGAAGAGGAAAAGGUUCCAUGUGAGCGGCACUUGCACAUGGGUUAGCCGAUCUAAGGGGCCAGGGGAACCCGUCAGGAAAUCGUCUCUCCAUUGAAACUCGAAAGGAAUCGGGUUAAAAUUCCCCAAAGCCGGGCCCAGCGGCCAGCAACAACGUUAAAAGUCGGGAGGCGUGGGAACUCGGGAAGAGUUAUCUUUUCUGCUUAACGGCCCGCCCACCACAAAGCGGCUCAGCCGAAGGUAGGGUCCAGCCAGUCGGAAGAGCGCCCGCCGCGUCGCCGCGUCCGGUCGCCCGCGGCCCUUAAAUCGGAGGACCGAGUACCGCCAGCUCCGGUCGUACUCAUAACCGCAUCAGGUCUCCAAGGUGAACAGCCUCUGGCCCAUGGAACAAUGUAGGCAAGGAAGUCGGCAAAAAACGGAUCCGUAACCGGAAAAAGGAUUGGCUCACGAGGGCUGGGCACGGGGUCCGGCCCGAACCCCGUCGGCUAUCGGCGGACUGCUCGAGCUGCUCUCGCGGUUAGAAGCGGAUCGCCUUGUCUUGCUGAGAGACGGACGAGGAAUAACCCCCUCGGGGCCUUCCCGGCGUCGAACAACCGACUCUCAGAACUGGUGCGGACAAGGGGAAUCCGACUGUUUAAUUAAAACAAAAGCAUUGCGAUGGUCCCCUUGGAUGCUCACAUAAUGUGAUUUCUGCCCAGUGCUCUGAAUGUCAAAGUGAAGAAAUUCAACCAAAAGCGGGUAAAAGGCGGGGAGUAACUAUGACUCUCUUAAGGUAGCCAAAUGCCUCGUCAUCUAAUUAGUGAUAGCAUGAAUGGAUUAACGAGAUUCCCACUGUCCUGUCUACAAUCCAUGAAACCACAGCCAAAGGGGAGCGGGCUUGGCAGAAUCAGCGGGGAAAAGACCCUGUUGAGCUUGACUCUAGUCCGACAUUGUGAAAUGACUUGAGAGGUGUAGGAUAAAGUGGGAGCGGUUCGCCCGGCGGAAGUGAAAAUACCACUAUUUUUAACGUUAUUUUACUUAUUCCGUGAGUCGGAGGCGGGCCCGGCCCCCUUUUGGACCCAAGGCCCGCCCUAGCGGGCAAUCGGGCGGAAGACAUUGUCGGUGGGGGAGUUUGGCUGGGGCGGCACAUCUGUUAAAAAAAGAUAAGCAUAGUGUCCUAAGAUGAGCUCAACGAGAACAGAAAUCUCGUGUGGAACAAAAGGGCAAAAAGCUUCGUUUGAUUCUGAUUUCCAAUCUGAAUCUGAACCGUGGCGUGGCCUAUCAAUCCUUUAGACCUUCCGAAUUUGAAGCUAGAGGUGUCAGAAAAGUUACCACAGGGAUAACUGGCUUGUAGCAGCCAAGCGUUCAUAGCGGCGUUGCUUUUUUUGAUCCUUGAUGUCGGCUCUUCCUAUCAUUAUGAAGCAGAAUUCACCAAGUGUUGGAUUGUUCACCCACCAAUAGGAAGCGUGAGCUGGGUUUUAGGCCGUGGUGAGACAGGUUAGUUUUACCCUAUUGAUGAUGGGUAUUCGCGAUAGUAAUUCAACCUGAAUGCGAGGAACGUUGAUUCACACAAUUGGUCAUCGGCUUGGUUGAAAAAAACCAGUGGCCUAUGGCUUCCCGUGUGUCGGAUUAUGACUGAGCGCCUCUAAGUCAGAAUCCUAGCUAGCAACCGGCUCUCUCGCCCGUCGUUAAGCCUCCCGACCCACAGUAGGGGCCUUUGGCCCCCAUGGGCUCGAUGUGGCCCGUGUAGCCCUCGUGGUGGUAUAGCCCGCGGGCGACCAUCGAAAGUGAAAUUCCACC